UUUUUUAUUGUGACCACUUCGGUGCACGACUAAUUGCUUAUCUGAUUUAGUGGUAAAGGAGAAACAAGGUUUAGGUCACUGAUAUAGCAAAUGACUAGUUGAAUUUUAAACCCAAGUGUUACCUGAAAGACAAAGUUUUUAACAAUAAAUCUAUCCUUUCUUUCUCUUUGUAAAAUAUUUAUCGUAGUGUAUGAUUCUGUUAAGUUUUCUACUAUAAUCUUUUGGAAAGAACAACAAACUAUGCAAUGCUCUCUGAUGUAUCUAUUAAUCUGUACAAAUUAUCUCAAGAAGAAACCCGAUUUUCUUCUGAACACGAUUUUUAGAGGAUACUAUUGCAACACUGGCCUAAUAGUUUAAUGCAGGAUUCCAUACUUAUUUAUUUAUUUAAACUUUAAUGCACAGUAAAAUUCUAUGUCCAUUUGGCGGACUUAACACCGGACAGUGUUCUCUACCAGUUAACCAUUGGUCAAACCGAGAAAUAAGUUUAAAUAUAUAUAUUUUCAUAUUAAGCAUUUCUUUUCUUGGACUCGUGAAUGGGACUUUAUUUAUGGUGGUUUGUAUUUGUGUGUAAUGUACUUAUAACUUAAUAGUUUUCUGUAACCACAAAAGUAUAAAAUGUAUUCAUGAUGCAAGCAAUAACCAUGGUGGAAAUGGGAGUCUCUGGGCUUUAAUGUGUUGAAUGAAGGUCUAACAUAAAUAAAAUAAAACAAUGUCACAUGACUCAUUUACGAACAUAGUAGGCAGCUAGAAUAUAAGGUAACAAAUAUAGAAUGUAGUAGGUAGUUGCUAUAGUAGUUAUAGGUGUAGAUGGAAAAAUAAUAAUAAUGCAGAAAAAAACCAUUGUAGUCACAAGAAUAAUCCCUAUCAAUUUGUCUUAAGGAAAAAUAAUCUAUAAAUUACUUGUCAAUCGUUAAUGAUAUAGUCAUAAAUCUGAUGCAAUUAUUUCAGUGUAUGAGUAAAAUGGCCUGACCUAACUGACACACGGAGCUGGCGGUUAGCACAGUUACUUAAAAAUGAUGUAAUAUUUAUGAAAUGGCAGUAAGAAUGGAGGAUAAAAAAUGGUCAACCAUUUUAUACGCGAUUACCUGUCUUUAACGUGUCACCACUAUUUUUUAUUCCCAGGAAGUCAUAAGAAGCAGCUAAGACAACCAAGCAGAGUACACCGACGUUAAAGGAAGAACUCGAAAAACUUUAUCAUGAAUAAUUCACUUCUUUGUUUGAUAUUAGAUACAGUUCUUAUAUUUACAGAAGUUUCUCCUUGACUGAGCUCUAUCUCGGCUUCAUCCGCGCUUACAAGGUUGUGAUCUAAUGCCAAGACUGCGUGGCAACGCCUGCAAUAACUGCACACAAAUUACACGGCUGCAAUGAAAAAAAAACCAAACGCAGAGUGACGUCACAUGGCGUGAUCUUGGAUCUGCUCUAAUGCACCACUACGACUUCACCAAGGAACCAUCGGGAAUCUAACACGAGUCGAAUUACAUUGACGCUUCCUUACAAGCUGUAUCUAGUUAAUUAAAGACUUGACCAGUAAUCGUUGCUACAAUCUUAAAUAAUUACUGAAUACAUUUGAAUGAAUGAACAUUUGUAGCGAGCAAGUUUGUUGCGACUUUUUCAGAUCUGUUAACGAGUACUGAAUCAAAUAAAAUUGCUUUAAUUACCAUCGCCUACUAAAAAUAUAUAGCUGUGGUACAUUACCGCAGACAACUGGCAAUGUAGAAUGAGCUGGUGGAAUUGUUACAGUGUAGAAACCUCGAACAGUUACUUAAUGAGGGUCGACGAGUCGUGUAUCGUGCACCGAGGCACGUAGACUGGUUCUAGAUUGAUCGGUGCUAAUAAAAAGUUGAGGAAAAUUUAUUGAAGAAAACACACAUGCGUGUGGAUUCUGCUAACGCCUCGUGUCUCCAUGCGCUUUAUUUUUUUUUCUUGUUUCUAGCAUAAUUGCUGUGAUGCGUAUAAUUAUAUCAAGUUUGUUAAUGUUCCGUGUCUCAGUAAGUUAAAUUAGAACUGUUUAAGGUCAUUCUGUAGACUGUCUAUAAAUUUUUGUUGUCUGGAAUUAAAAGGACCUGGCUAAAAUUAAUGCCAAAUUUUAAGA